AUUCCAGCUCCAAUAGCGUAUAUUAAAGUUGUUGCAGUUAAAACGCUCGUAGUCGGAUUUCGGGGCGGGCCGACCGGUCUGCCGAUGGGUAUGCACUGGCCGGCGCGUCCUUCCACCCGGAGACCGCGCCUACUCUUAACUGAGCGGGCGCGGGAGACGGGUCUUUUACUUUGAAAAAAUCAGAGUGUUUCAAGCAGGCAGUCGCUCUUGCAUGGAUUAGCAUGGGAUAAUGAAAUAGGACUCUGGCGCUAUUUUGUUGGUUUCGAACACCGGAGUAAUGAUUAACAGGGACAGUUGGGGGUAUUCAUAUUUACAUGUCAGAGGUGAAAUUCUUGGAUUUUGGAAAGAUGAACUACUGCGAAGGCAUUUACCAAGGAUGUUUUCAUUA
rnacentral:rRNA from 1 species